GGACCAUUAGCUCAGUGGUAGAGCAUCUGAUUCCAGUUCAUCGGGACAUCCAGAAGGUCGUCCGUUCAAGUCGGGCAUGGUUCA
rfam:Pestalotiopsis fici W106-1 unplaced genomic scaffold PFICI_Scf_1, whole genome shotgun sequence.